AAAAUUAUUCAAAUCGGGCCAUAGUGUAUUGGGCCUAGGGUUUUGGGUAUUUUAGGCUGAAUUAGGUUUGGGUUAAUCUAUAUUGGGCCUAGAGUCUGUAAAUGGACAUUUAAAAUGGACUAUUUUUUUAUUUUUUAUAUUUUUGUUUAUUUAUUUUCGAUUUGGGCCUGGCAAAUUUGGGUUAUUACAUAGUGUGUUGGGAUGGACGGAGAUGGUGUGUAGCGAAUGAGGAUAAGAAUCUGCAUCUGUACCUGAUAUGUUCUGCAUCUAUAUCUGAUAUUCUCUGUUUCUAAUUUUGUAAUUGAGUCUGAGAAAUGAUUGAAUUAUGAACGACUGAAAUCAUAUAUGUUGUACUACCAUUAUUGUUGAAUGUAAGUUACACACUAAGUUAAAACUCAU
rnacentral:lncRNA from 1 species